AUUGAGAUUUUAACACGAAGUAGNUGGCGGACGGGUGAGUAACACGUGGGUAACCUGCCCAGAAGCAGGGGAUAACACCUGGAAACAGAUGCUAAUACCGUAUAACAGAGAAAACCGCCUGGUUUUCUUUUAAAAGAUGGCUCUGCUAUCACUUCUGGAUGGACCCGCGGCGCAUUAGCUAGUUGGUGAGGUAAAGGCCCACCAAGGCGAUGAUGCGUAGCCGACCUGAGAGGGUAAUCGGCCACAUUGGGACUGAGACACGGCCCAGACUCCUACGGGAGGCAGCAGUAGGGAAUCUUCCACAAUGGACGCAAGUCUGAUGGAGCAACGCCGCGUGAGUGAAGAAGGGUUUCGGCUCGUAAAGCUCUGUUGUUAAAGAAGAACGUGGGUAAGAGUAACUGUUCACCCAGUGACGGUAUUUAACCAGAAAGCCACGGCUAACUACGUGCCAGCAGCCGCGGUAAUACGUA
rnacentral:rRNA from 1 species